AACUCUUUAGGGUUACACCUGGAGAGUUUCCAGUAUUCUACCAGUCUCAGCUAUGGGAGGGAGAGUCAAGCAGAGGCCUACCCAUUCCAUUCCUAGCUUGGGCUGGAGAAUGGAAGACAAUCUGCUGCAAGU